AGACCGGUUUACUGGUCGUGCUUUUGUACGUACUGGUAUAAUCGGUUUCUCUUUUCUGACGAACUAUAAUGCCAUUAAUUUGGUGUUAUAGGGAAUCAGGACUGUUACUUUGAAAAAAUUAGAGUGUUUAAAGCAGGCUCACGCUUGAAUACAUUAGCAUGGAAUAACGAAAUAGGACGUUUGAUUUUAUUUUGUUGGUUUCUAGGAUCGACGUAAUGAUUAAUAGGGAUAGUUGGGGGCAUUAGUAUUCAAUUGUCAGAGGUGAAAUUCUUGGAUUUAUUGAAGACUAACUACUGCGAAAGCAUUUGCCAAGGAUGUUUUCAUUAAUCAAGAACGAAAGUUAGGGGAUCGAAGACGAUCAGAUACCGUCGUAGUCUUAACCAUAAACUAUGCCGACUAGGGAUCGGAUGAUGUUAAUUUUAAUGACUCAUUCGGCACCUUACGGGAAACCAAAGUGUUUGGGUUCCGGGGGGAGUAUGGUCGCAAGGCUGAAACUUAAAGGAAUUGACGGAAGGGCACCACCAGGGGUGGAGCCUGCGGCUUAAUUUGACUCAACACGGGGAAACUCACCAGGUCCAGACAUAGUAAGGAUUGACAGAUUGAGAGC
rnacentral:rRNA from 1 species